AAUGCUACACCUCUUGUCGUCUGUCAAUUGUGGCCAAGUAUAGGCGCCAGGGCCGAAUGCUUGGUUGCGGUUGGAACCAUUGGGCAGCCUAUAGUGGAGAGAAAAGGGAAGGGAGCGAGACGAGAGAUAAUCUCAUCCGCUCGCGAUGUUUAGAUUGGGACAGCGUCUUCUUCCCCGGGCCUCGAGCCUCGCGGCCGGUUUGAGAGAGUUAAAGGGAGGCCCGGGCUCAAAGUAAACACAAUCUUUGUACUUAAAGUUACUGAGAAGAGUGCACGUGUGAUGACCGGUUCGUUUGUUUGUUUUGGACAAUAACUAUGGACAAUUAGGUUAUUUUCAUAAGACCCCAGACUACCCCAGGUCCCAGGGGCGGCUCGCUGGCAGAGAAAGAAACCAUCUCUGUCGCUCUACUCUGGUCUGGACAGAGCUGCUCCUCUGCUACACAUUGGUCUGGGAGUGGAGGAGGAGGAAGCCUUGCUGGUUCCCAAGAGAAAGUGACCCUCAUGGCCUAAAAAUCUAAAUAACCGGUGGCCAUGUUAGCCUUCACUGCAGCUGGCACGGAACACAACAAUGAACCAAUCCAUCAUGGGGUAGAGGUCUGCUGGUACAGCUCAGGGACCAACGUAUCCUACUAUCCUACCUUAUAUCCUGGCCUAUGUCCUCCUGGUUUUGACCCUUGCCUGUUCUGGACUCUGUACCCGCCUGCCUGACCAUUCUGCC